UACGGAAGGGGCGAGCGUUGUUCGGAAUCAUUGGGCGUAAAGGGCGCGUAGGUGGUGCUGUAUGUCUCCCGUGAAAGCCCACGGCUCAACCGUGGUGUGUCGGGAGAAACUGCAGGACUUGAGGCUGGGAGGGGCUGGUGGAAUUCCCUGUGUAGCGGUGAAAUGCGUAGAGAUGGGGGAGAACACUCGUGGCGAAGGCGGCCAGCUAGACCAGUUCUGACACUGAGGCGCGACAGCGUGGGGAGCAAACAGG
rnacentral:rRNA from 1 species